rnacentral:rRNA from 1 species
AUACGGAGGACGCGAGCGUUAUCCGGAUUCAUUGGGUUUAAAGGGUGGGCAGGCGGCCGUGCAAGUCAGCGGUGAAAGCCCGGGGCUCAACCCCGGAAGUGCCUCCCGAACUGGUGGACUUGAAUGACUCUGCCGUGGGAGGAAUGUGUAGUGUAGCGGUGAAAUGCGUAGAUAUGCCACAGAACGCCGAUAGCGGAGGCAGCUCGCCAGGCCUGCAUUGACGCUCGGGCACGAAAGCGUGGGGAUCGAACAGGAUUAGAUACCCUGGUAGUCCACGCCGUAAACGAUGGGCGCUCGUCGUCGGCGGCAGACAGUCGGCGGCCAAGCGAAAGCGAUAAGCGCCCCACCUGGGGAGUACGGUCGCAAGGCUGAAACUUAAAGGAAUUGACGGGG